rnacentral:RNase_P_RNA from 1 species
AGAGUCGCCCGAACCAUCGCGGUGUAGCAAUACAUCGAGGAAAGUCCGGACUUCGCAGAGCACAGUGGUGGGUAACGCCCACCCCGGGAAACCGGCGGGAUAGUGCCACAGAGAAUAGACCGCCUAUUAGUAAUAAUAGGUAAGGGUGAAACGGUGGUGUAAGAGACCACCAGUGCAAGAAGUAAUUCCUGUAGCUAGGUAAACCCCACUGGAAGCAAGGUCACGCAGAUAACGUUUGAGAGCUGCUCGCUCGAGUUAUCGGGUAGACCGCAUGACGAUGUCAGCAAUGACAUUGCUAGAGGGAUGAUGGUUCACGACAGAAUCCGGCUUAUAGGGCGACUCUUCUU